GCACUACUGAGGAGUCCCAUAAUAGGACGAAACGGCCGUCCAGUAC
rfam:Schistosoma rodhaini strain Burundi genome assembly, scaffold: SROB_scaffold0009548